GUUUGUAUUUAUUGUGUUAAACUGUUUAACUUCACUUUAUGAGCAAGUAUUAAUGAAACCCUAUGAGCAGCCUUGGUGUGAGGAUUACCUUAUCGGUUUGUCCAUUCAAUAAUUACCUCCAAAGAAAUAUUAAAAUCUAUUGCCAUGCAUUCAGUUAUUUAAAAUAAUCAUGUAAUCAAAUAUAAUGACCUAAUUUGUUUUUGAUUACUUGACAAAUAAAUGUGGGAAACAUGCACAUGACAGCUGUUUUUCUGUUGUGAAAGGGCAAUCCUGCUGCACUCUGCUGCAAGGCGAACAACCAUGCUCAGGCAACUUCGAGAGGGACUACAACUUUACAGCCUCAUAGAUGUCAUGGAAAGGAACAGAAAGCUUUGCCAUGGCCUCUUUGUGGCUGCUGAUGCUGAUAAAGUGGACUCACACUACAUUGUGUCGCACUUGGCCCCAGAGAUGAGCGAAAAUGGUACACAAAAGCACACAAGGGAAGCACAAAUCCUAAACAACUUCCAGGAUUUCCUGCAAGAGCUUGAGGAUGGAACAGUUGAGGAUGAAGAUCCGCUUGAUGUCCCUGGAGUGAUGCAGUGGUUGACUGGACAGUCGCACCGGCAUCUUCUAACUGCAGACAGACAAAUUUUAAGAUAACUGUCUGUUUUGACCAUGGGUGUUUGGAACGGAUGCCAGACCACAAGAUCUGCUAUCCACUUGUCAGCGCAUGCACAGAAACGAUCACAUUUCCAACUGCACACUGUGUGAAUUAUGAUGAGUUCAAGAAAAACAUGUUAACAGCAAUGAGAUGUGGUGCAGGAUUUUACAGGGUGUAGUUUGGUUCAAAUGGUGCCAGAACACUUAAGAUUCUGUUGUGUCAUUUUCAUGUUUAUCUGCAUAUUAGUUGUUAUGUGCCUCUACAGUGCACAAAUGUUUGUUACAUAAAACAGUGGUUCUCAACAGGUGGUGAGAACCCAAAAGUUGUUUACAGAGCUAUUUUCAGUGGAUCGUGGAUUUAGCAUUUGUUGGUUCCACAUCCUUGUUUAUUCUCUGAAAAGUUUUUUACUGUCUGAGAAUUAGUUAAUACUUUGAUUGGUUGUGAUAUUCUUGGCAGAGUUUGUGGUGGUUCCUGAAAAUGGACCAGUUAAGAUCAGCUGAUAAAAAAGUAAAAUACACAAAUGUGUUUAAUAUAUUUAAUAGCAAAAUAAAAAAAUGUGCAAUUCAUGAA